AUUGAACGCUGGCGGCAGGCCUAACACAUGCAAGUCGAGCGAGCGGCGGACGGGUGAGUAAUGUCUGGGAAACUGCCUGAUGGAGGGGGAUAACUACUGGAAACGGUAGCUAAUACCGCAUACCAUCAGAUGUGCCCAGAUGGGAUUAGCUAGUAGGUGGGGUAACGGCUCACCUAGGCGACGAUCCCUAGCUGGUCUGAGAGGAUGACCAGCAACACUGGAACUGAGGCCCGGUCCAGACUCCUACGGGAGGCAGAAGUGGGGAUUCUUGCACAAUGGGCGCAAGCCUGAUGAAGCCAUGCCGCGUGUGUGAAGCAGGCCUUCGGGUGGUAAGGCACUUUCAGCGGGGAGGCGUUACCCGCAGAAGAAGCACCGGCUAACUCCGUGCCAGCAGCCGCGGUAAUAC
rnacentral:rRNA from 1 species